rnacentral:tRNA from 1 species
GUCCGCGUAGCUCAGCUGGAUAGAGCACUCGCCUUCUAAGCGAAUGGUCACGUGUUCGAAUCACGUCGUGGACACCA